GGACUUGACAUACACCGGAAAGCAUCAGAGAUGGUGCCCCCCCUUGUGGUCGGUGUACAGGUGGUGCAUGGCUGUCGUCAGCUCGUGUCGUGAGAUGUUGGGUUAAGUCCCGCAACGAGCGCAACCCUUGUCCCGUGUUGCCAGCAACUCUUCGGAGGUUGGGGACUCACGGGAGACCGCCGGGGUCAACUCGGAGGAAGGUGGGGACGACGUCAAGUCAUCAUGCCCCUUAUGUCUUGGGCUGCACACGUGCUACAAUGGCCGGUACAAUGAGCUGCGAUACCGCAAGGUGGAGCGAAUCUCAAAAAAGCCGGUCUCAGUUCGGAUUGGGGUCUGCAACUCGACCCCAUGAAGUCGGAGUCGCUAGUAAUCGCAGAUCAGCAUUGCUGCGGUGAAUACGUUCCCGGGCCUUGUACACACCGCCCGUCACGUCACGAAAGUCGGUAACACCCGAAGCCGGUGGCCCAACCCCUUGUGGGAGGGAGCUGUCGAAGGUGGGACUGGCGAUUGGGACGAAGUCGUAACAAGGUAAGCGUAGCGAG
rnacentral:rRNA from 1 species